rnacentral:rRNA from 1 species
UACGUAGGCAGCGAGCGUUGUUCGGAGUUACUGGGCGUAAAGCGUGCGCAGGCGGUUGUGCAAGACAGAUGUGAAAUCCCCGGGCUUAACCUGGGAACUGCAUUUGUGACUGCACAGCUGGAGUGCGGCAGAGGGGGAUGGAAUUCCGCGUGUAGCAGUGAAAUGCGUAGAUAUGCGGAGGAACACCGAUGGCGAAGGCAAUCCCCUGGGCCUGCACUGACGCUCAUGCACGAAAGCGUGGGGAGCAAACAGG